rnacentral:rRNA from 1 species
CCUAGGGGAGGCAGCAGUGGGGAAUAUUGCACAAUGGGGGAAACCCUGAUGCAGCGACGCCGCGUGAGUGAAGAAGUAUUUCGGUAUGUAAAGCUCUAUCAGCAGGGAAGAAGAAAGACGGUACCUGACUAAGAAGCCCCGGCUAACUACGUGCCAGCAGCCGCGGUAAUACGUAGGGGGCAAGCGUUAUCCGGAUUUACUGGGUGUAAAGGGAGCGUAGACGGCUGUGCAAGUCUGAAGUGAAAGCCCAGGGCUCAACCCUGGGACUGCUUUGGAAACUGUGGAGCUAGAGUGCUGGAGAGGUAAGUGGAAUUCCUAGUGUAGCGGUGAAAUGCGUAGAUAUUAGGAGGAACACCGGCGGCGAAGGCGGCCUGCUGGACCGCGACUGACGUUGAGGCUCGAAAGCGUGGGGAGCGAACAGGAUUAGAUACCCUAGUAGUC